rnacentral:rRNA from 1 species
UGAGGAAUAUUGGGCAAUGCCCGCAAGGGUGACCCAGCAACGCCGCGUGGAGGAUGAAUGUCGUAAGAUUGUAAACUCCUGUUAGAGGGGAAGAAUAGUACCGGUUGGACCGGUAUAUGACUGUACCCUCAGAGAAAGCCCCGGCUAACUACGUGCCAGCAGCCGCGGUAAUACGUAGGGGGCAAGCGUUGUCCGGAUUUACUGGGUGUAAAGGGCGCGCAGGCGGGAUAAAAAGUCAGUGGUGAAAUCCUACAGCUUAACUGUAGAACUGCCUUUGAUACUUUGAUUCUUGAGUUCGGGAGAGAGAGACGGAAUUCCAGGUGUAGUGGUGAAAUACGUAGAUAUCUGGAAGAACACCAGUUGAGAAGGCGGUCUCUUGGUCCGACACUGACGCUGAGGCGCGAAAGCGUGGGGAGCAAACA